rnacentral:lncRNA from 1 species
AGCUCCAUAUUCAAUAGUCUUCCCUCAAGCUGAGAACCGAAUGCAUGCACAGAAUGCUAUAAUGCUCCAUGUACUUGGCAAAUAGCCGGUUGGAUGAUUAUAACAUUGGUUGGAGCAAUGUUAGUGUACACUUGCAAUAAAUUGUUUCAGACUUUAGGCUAGUGUUCACUUGGUUUUAGGCUUUCGGGAGUAUAUUAAAUUGGAACUUGAGUUGAUUUUUUGUAUUAUCACUGGCCACUGAAGAGCAGCUGAAUCUUUUGAAAAUGCUAGUAUAAAAUUUAGUAUGUCAUUUUUUUGGGUACUAGAUCACAGUAUGUCAGUUUGAUUUGAGGCAUACGAGGAGUCUCAAGUAGAAAUUUAAAGAUUUUACGCUAGCUAUAAAUCCGGAGGCAUGGAUAUUCAAGACACUUCAAGAUGUCUUGAAUUAGCUUAUUUUUUAGCUUAUGAAAAAUAACUUAUGCAAAUAAAUAAGUUUUCCCUAGUAAAAAUUGUAUCUUUAUAUAAGCUGUUAUUUCAUAAAAUAACUUAACAAAAUUAUAAAUAAUACAUAAAAUAAAAGCUUAUUUAUCUCUAUAAGUUGUUUUGUAUAAGCUAAAAAAUAAGUCAGUUCAAACUGACCCAUAGUCAACUAUGUAGGCUUAUGCAAUUGCCCGUUUUAUGUUAUUAACAUGAAUACUAUGAAUUUGUU